UCCAAAUACCCGAAUUUAAAUGGCGGGAAAUAUUUGAAGAAGAAAAUCAUUCUUUCAUUGUAAAUUCUAUUUUAAAAGAAAUCAUUUCUUCGACGAUGGAAAUAAUUUACGAUGUAUACCUUGAAAAAGCUGUUUACUCAUUUGUUGUUCAUUGUUCUCAUAUAGCUUGGCUUCAAUUAUUUGAUGCAAUGGAUUUACAAUAUGAUUUAGGUGAGGAUCCUGCAUCAAUUAAAAAAUACUGGAUAGGAGACAAAGAACAUAAACCAUCACCGAUCGAUUUGUUAUGCUUUAAAAACGUCGAAGUACGUAAAAAAUGUGAAACUUGUUCAUACCCUGAAAACUGCCAGAAAUCAUAGAACUAAUAUACGUAAAUAGAAGAGACAUUGACAAGUUCACACU
rnacentral:lncRNA from 1 species